CUCAAAUAAUCCAUUUAGAAGCUGAAAUCAUUCCUCCAAACAUACCCAAUAACUCAAACCCAUAAUCUCGCCCCCAUUUAUGCCCAAUUACUCCUGCCACAUUUACCCCUAUUACCCAGGUCACUAUUACAACUUUCAAACCAAAAAUUGAAAAAUUAAAACCCUAGAAUCUCCAUUACACACAAGAAAUCCUCAAAUCCUAUCUCAAUCCUUGUUUAUGGAAUGUCUAUAUCCACAAAAAUCGAUUUCGAGCACUAAUAUCUGGGCAUAUUGAUAUUCCUGCGCUGUUAUUUAAACCCGUGCGUGAACGAUUCACCAGAAAAGUUGAUGUCGCAAUGAGAGAUGAAUUGGUGAUGCAAAUAUUCCAUGUAUGGAUGCCGGAAGAGGAGACGUUUUGGAAGAGGAAACCUGACUUUCUGGAACCUUAUCUUUUCCUAGAUUUUAUGUAUUCAGUAGUUAUUCUCGAGAUAGCCAAGAAUGAAUAGUCGGCAGGAGUUUUUAGAUAUCAGUUUGUUUUGUAUGCAAAACCUUGUGGUUCUUUGGAGUGAUUCCAAGUUCCAUUUCCAUUGUUAAUCCCAUCAAUUGAAAUAAAUUUUUUUGCUUCAUUUUUUCCCGCUGCUUCAAUUGGCUUUUAUGCGUGAGUGAUUCCAUUGUGGAAAUCAUUCCAUCAGUCAAAGAAUUUUCAGGUGGCAGGACCUCGAGGUUAUGAUGGCUGAAAAAUGAUAGAUAUAUAUGUGAAUCUUCCAGCCCUCAAGACCUCGAGGUUAUGAUGGCUGAAAAAUGAUAGAUAUAUAUGUGAAUCUUCCAGCCCUCAAGAAAUUAGAUGCAAUGCUAAUUAGCAUCUUGGAUGGUUUUCGUGGCAUUAAGUUUUACUAUUUUGAGAGUGGGAUGGGUGUUGCUGAUGCGGAACACGUUGAAGCAAAUCCUUUGUUCCCCAUUCUUCAUCACAUUGUAUUUGACUCUAGCAAUCUCUGACAGGCUGAUGCAUAGAAGAUUGGCAAGUUAUUUUCACCAAGAAAUAACCCAAAACGCAAUCUCUUAGCACUUUUUUAUGCAAUGAUGUGUAGUUGCUGUUAAGAACAUUUAGGAUGUAUCCAGUGGCUUUGUAUGUGUAAUUUUCUUAUGCAUUGUUGUCUCUUUUGAUUUGGGAUAUACUGAUGUUUAUUUCAGACUCUGUUGUACACAAGAAUCUAGCAUUCAUCUCAUUUGUUGGCUCA
rnacentral:lncRNA from 1 species